UAUGCCCACACCCUACUCCAGGUGCCCGCAUCAGGCAUGCAUUCGGGACCGCAGGGUUCCAUCAUCCAUCCUAUGGGCGGGAGAGCAGAAAAGCCUGAUACUUUUACCUUACCCUACAAUCCACCCCCUCAGGGUUUUCUGACAGACAGUCUAUACAAGUGAUACACACGUUUCUCUUGACGAAUAUGAACACUGCAGCCAUGGCCCACAAAAGCAAAUGAAAUAUAUCACAAUGAAAUAUAACAGAACACAAAUAAGUCCAGGCAGGGCAUCAACCUAGUGGCAAAAGACAAUUAUUGGCACCAGUAGAUGAUCCACCACUUCCGCUGCCGAAGGCACUGCUCAUGCGAGGGAGGGAACCACUCAGGCAUCAGCUGUCACACGCCAGGAGCCAUCAGGCCUCCCGGCCCCCUCCGGCUGCAGUCUCGGCCACAAGCCACACACCACAUCCACCCCCAGGAUGCACUCACUCUUGGGUUGGCGAUUCUGUACUCUUUGGGUGUAAUCGCCCAUCCCUCAGGGUUUUCUAUCUGUGGUCGCUCCAACGCUCCAGCAUGCAGGCCCCUUCACUCAGGCCAACCCACUGCACAAGCACAUGGGUCGGGGAUCCGUGGAUACAAGUCCACAUGCAGCCUCUCUUGGGUCCCCUCUUUGGCUGUGGGCUCCACCACAAGCCACGUUCCCUACCCACCCCCAAAGAUGGGCUCCUCAGCUCCUCACCCUCAACUAUGAGCAGGGCAUCACCCACAGGUGAUUUUAAAAGACUCACUGGCCUUUAGCUUACGUAGUGCGUAACAGCCGCUCAGGGCUUCCCAAACUUAGCACCAGCUUUUGCCUUCUCAGUUGGCUUUUCUCCUCUGCUUAGCUGCUGGGCAGUACACCGGCUGCCUUUGGCCACCAAGGCCCACUGACACCCCCAGACUCCCAUCUCUGGGGGUGUACAAUCCCAUCCAUCCUCAGGGUCCCCAAAACAUAUCAAACUUGCCAAGGUCCUCCCCCUUCUGGCGGGAUUGUUAGUCCAUUAGUCCAAGUUCAUUGGCUUUUCCCUUUGUCCACACUGGGGAGCUCUGAGUCGUGGUCCUUUCUCCCCCGAUGAUUCUUGCUGCCUAGUCGGGGAUUGUUGGCUGGUCCUCUCGGGCAUCUCCUCCUCCAGGCGAGGUCUCAUCCCGCAGCUCCCGGACUUUGCCCUUCCCCUGUCCCGCCAUGACACGUCCAGCGCUGUCACAGGCAAACACUGCUGCUCCUCAGUCCCUCCCGGUAUUCGGAGGGCUCCAUACCGGUCUGCAUGGAUCAUCGUGCUGACUUACACCAAUUGUAAGAGAGGAGGGAAUGGACACUGGGCAAGUUUUCUGAUCCAGCAGACUGGGUCCAGGAGAAGAGAGUCCUGGAAGCCUCAGUGGCUUUUGCAGGCUUUUAUUGGGAUUUACUGGAUACAUGGCAGGUAGGGGUGCUAGGGGGUCAGGAGGCUGGCAGGCCUCCCAGCCCCCAGCAAGUCUUCACUCUUUCUGGGCUCUCUGGCGUUCUCUGGUGGUCUCUGCUGCUCUGCUCUCUCGGUUCUGCUUACGUUUCUCUGCUUUUGCUGUGAAUGCCACCCUUAAAAGCCCAGUCUUAGCCCAGGUGAAUCCCAUCUACAUAUGCCCACACCCUACUCCAGGUGCCUGCAUCAGGCUUGCAUUCAGACCACAGGGUUCCCUCAUCUAUCCUAAAGGCGGGAGGGCAGAAAAGCCUGAUAGUUUUAUCUUACCCUACAGUGUGGUUUUCCGGAGGGCUGGGCGGGCUGGGUGCUGGGCAGGCCGGCACUGCUGAGCCCCUGAGCCCGCUGUCUGGCCGAGGGCCGCUUUACCGAGCUCAUGCAGGAGAAAGUGGGCUUACAGGACUGGAUGGAGGAGCUGGAGCAUCGAUGUAUCCAGAUGUCUGGAGAGACUGUCACCAUCGGAGAAUACAUGCUCUCUACCAGUACCAGAGAGCAGUGAUGAGGGAGGAGCACCAAGAGAAGGAGGAGUCCAUAAGGCAGCUGGCCCAGGACAAAGAGGAGAUGAAGGUGAAGCUGUUAGAGCUGCAAGAGCUGGUUUUGCGGCUGGUGGAGGCACGCAACGAAUGGCGGGCGAAGCCCUGAGCACCUGCCCAGAACCCUGCUGCUGAGCCCACUAGCGCAUGCCUAGUCCCCAAGAAGCUUGGCACCGCCAACGUCCAAGGGCGGCGUCACGGGGACGCCAGCAGCAGCAGUAGAAGCCGAAGCUGAAGCCGGAAGAGAAGCCGAGAUCACCAGAGAGCCCAGAUAAAGUGAAGAUUUGCUUCACCCCUGCCUGCCAUAUGCCUGGUGAACCCCAAUAAAAAAACUGCAAAACCACUGAGGACUCUGACUCCUCCUUUACCCGGUCUGCAUGGGAUCAGAAAACCUGCGCUGUGCCCUGCUCCAGCCCUUACACUCUCUAAAGAACCAAGUAAGGUGAGCCUUGUCCACGAUGUGCAGCCGACCCAGGGCGAGGCCCAGCUAGGCCUGACUCCCCUCGAGAACGCCUCUGCGCAGCAGGUCGUUCAGCUGCUUCAAGAAAUGCAGAACUCCCAGGAAGGCGUCACCAUUGGAAACAGCCCAUGCCUUCCCUUCUUCUACCAGGCUGACGAGAAGGAGGUGAAGAUAAUGGUGGUCUAGGCCACCGGCAUGGGGCCGGAGGCUCUGCCCCCACCUGGCCCUCACCAACCCAUCCCUGUUCCCCAGGCUUUUCCCCCCAUCCUUUGGCUCUCCUUCCCAGUCGUCCUUUCAUCCCUCGGCUUAAAAAAGGGGUCCAACAACUCCCCUAUCUAAUAGGGUGAAAUACGUGCAGACCCUAGCCUCUGAGGUUAGGGCUGUGUCUUCAUUUAACUCUGGACUAAUCAUGCUUCCAGAGGCAAGGAGCUAGAAAUAUCCAGCUAGUUAUUUAGGGGGCUCCGUUCUACAAUAUAGGGGCUCCUUGAAUGACCAAUUGAAUCCUUACCAGGCCUUCUUGCAGAGGGCCUAGGUUAUAUUAGGCAAUUUUGGGCCACGUGCCCCCCACCUCACCCCAACCAUGUCGAGCGGGGCAGCACUUUGAAAGCCCAGCACGGGGGCUAAGUGCAGACAGAGAUACCAGCUGGGGCAGGUGGGCACCAACACCUGUCUAGAGUGUAGCCACAGAGAUAGCAGUGGUUUAUUUGAGACCACCCAGAUCCACAAAGGGGUGGCCUCCCCUGCUCCCUUUUGAAAUUUCCCCAUGGGCCUUUGCACCCAAUUUUGUUUUUGUUUUUUUUUUUGUUUUGUUCUGUUUUGUUUUUAAUUUUUUGUUGGACCCAAUAAUUGCGUGCCGCCCCGGGAGGGCCAGAGUACUGGCUUCCAGCCUAGGCAUUUCUCCUCUCACCCUGUUCUUC